rnacentral:rRNA from 1 species
UACGUAGGGGGCAAGCGUUGUCCGGCAUCAUUGGGCGUAAAGAGCGUGUAGGCGGCUCGAUAAGUCUGCUGUGAAAGUCCAGGGCUCAACCCUGGAAGGCCGGUGGAAACUGUCGGGCUAGAGUCCGGAAGAGGCGAGUGGAAUUCCCGGUGUAGCGGUGAAAUGCGCAGAUAUCGGGAGGAACACCAAUGGCGAAGGCAGCUCGCUGGGACGGUACUGACGCUGAGACGCGAAAGCGUGGGGAGCAAACAGG